GCGGCCGUGGCGUAGGGGGCACACAACCUUGCCAAGGUUGGGGUCGAGAGUUCGAAUCUCUUCGCCCGCUCCA
rnacentral:tRNA from 3 species